AGAGUUUGAUCAUGGCUCAGAUUGAACGCUGGCGGCAGGCCUAACACAUGCAAGUCGAGCGGUAGAGAGAAGCUUGCUUCUCUUGAGAGCGGCGGACGGGUGAGUAAUGCCUAGGAAUCUGCCUGGUAGUGGGGGAUAACGUUCGGAAACGGACGCUAAUACCGCAUACGUCCUACGGGAGAAAGCAGGGGACCUUCGGGCCUUGCGCUAUCAGAUGAGCCUAGGUCGGAUUAGCUAGUUGGUGAGGUAAUGGCUCACCAAGGCGACGAUCCGUAACUGGUCUGAGAGGAUGAUCAGUCACACUGGAACUGAGACACGGUCCAGACUCCUACGGGAGGCAGCAGUGGGGAAUAUUGGACAAUGGGCGAAAGCCUGAUCCAGCCAUGCCGCGUGUGUGAAGAAGGUCUUCGGAUUGUAAAGCACUUUAAGUUGGGAGGAAGGGUUGUAGAUUAAUACUCUGCAAUUUUGACGUUACCGACAGAAUAAGCACCGGCUAACUCUGUGCCAGCAGCCGCGGUAAUACAGAGGGUGCAAGCGUGAAUCGGAAUUACUGGGCGUAAAGCGCGCGUAGGUGGUUUGUUAAGUUGGAUGUGAAAUCCCCGGGCUCAACCUGGGAACUGCAUUCAAAACUGACUGACUAGAGUAUGGUAGAGGGUGGUGGAAUUUCCUGUGUAGCGGUGAAAUGCGUAGAUAUAGGAAGGAACACCAGUGGCGAAGGCGACCACCUGGACUAAUACUGACACUGAGGUGCGAAAGCGUGGGGAGCAAACAGGAUUAGAUACCCUGGUAGUCC
rnacentral:rRNA from 1 species